UAGCUAAAAAAACAGACAACCGCUCAGGCUUUUAAGCCAUUUCCAUUUUCAAUUGCAUUUACAAUUGCAUUUAAUUGGUUCACAUGAUUGGGCAUUGAAGUUUUACCAUUGUUGCACGGUGCCUUCUUGCCAACUCAAGCUACGGCUCUAACUUAUAUUCACCAUGUUGUUCGUUUCUCAAUUCUCUUGUGCAAUGCAUGUUUAAUUAAUUGUCUCCUAGGUAUUUUUUUAGUGCUUUACUUUAAUGAUUUUAAUUAUGUUUGGUUUGCUUAAUUUCCAUUUUAAUUUCAUCAUAUUGCAUUCACAAAAACACUUUCAAACCCCCCCCCUAACUUCGUGUUAGACUUGACUCUGAACCGCAGUUGGUCCUUGAGAGACGACCUAGGGGUCAUUCCCUAGCUAUACUGCAUUUCUAAAUUGCAAUCAAAUUUGAUUGGGCGGUGACACCCAUCAAAUUUUGGCGCCGUUGCCGGGGACCAACGGUUUGGUUUUAGGUCUUCUGUUGUGUUAGUGUGUGUUGUGUUUUGUCUCGUGCUGUGAGUAUGUUGUUCCGUUUUGUGUGUCGUGUCAUGUGUGUUGCAUUUAGAUAGUUGCAUAUUUUCAUUCCAUUCUUCUUUCCCCCUUUCUUUCCCAUGUCUACCUAUUUUGGCUUUGUGGAUACUGCUUAUUCUACCUGUGCCUAUGAUUAUUAUUCUCCUUCUACAUCUGACUCUGGUAUUGCUUGUGAUGUAUAUUCGGCUGACGUCUAUGUUGAGAACAGUAUGGUUCCUC
rnacentral:lncRNA from 1 species